AUUGAUAGUUGCAGUUUUUACAAUUUGGAUGUAACAAAUGUAUUAAAAACAACCCCAUAUUAUCUAUCAAGUAUUUUUUUUUAUGUUUGCUAUAUUUAAAAGAGACCAACUAUUUUACAUAGAGCUAAUUAUUUUAAAAGAAACUAACAUCAUAUAUUCAUAAUUAAAUUAAAACGCCCAAUAUUGGACCCUCCAAUCAUUAACAGUUUUCACAUGCAUUUGUAGGCAAAUUAAAGUUUCCUUAUUAGCCAAGGUUAUGCCUUUCCCUGCUUCAAUGGCAGCCUGUAGGCGUGUAUACAAUUACAAUUAUAUUAUUAAGAGAAACCAGGGGUCCAAUGCAGUAUGUUAUCAUACAUCUUUGGAAUGGAUACCUGAUCAUCUGUGGGCUGAAUCCUAGCCAAUUCUGAUAGACAGAUUUUACCUCAUCAGUUUGCAUUGGCCGCAAUUAUAUCCAGUUUUACGGCAGAUACACCAAUCUCAGCCAACAGGAGUCUAUUUCCGACCAAAAUAUUGGAUUGUUUUCCACUGAAUUUGCCAACCAGCAUUUUUCUGCUUGCAGAGCAAUUUCUGAUGUGUAUAUAAUGUCUUUGAGGUAGAAGCGAACCACUGCCGUUCGAGAUAAGGUAACACACGUAGUUUCAAAGAAACAAAACCAAAGAAAACAGAAGCAAAUGUAAAGUAAAGGAAUAUGAUGAAAACACCUAACUAAAUAGCAAGAUUAGCAUAUUUCUUUGCUUAGGAAGACUGUACGCCCAACCAUUAGCAUGUUUCCAAAGUGAUAUGGCACUACCCCAACUAUGCAUGUAAAUACCUUUAUAAAAAAAACUAUGCAUGUAAAUACCGGUACAAUUUACUCUCAGCAGGACAUCAAAGCUUAGACAUGGAAAAGGAAGCGCAAAUCAAGCAAUAUAUUUGUAAACAUAAAUCUGAAUAAGCAAUCAGAUUGCUAUUUACUUGAACGGGUAACUUAAUUCAGUUGGUCGUUCAUAACCUUCCAGGAACGAAUGGAGCAUAUUCAAUUGAUUCAAUUGGUCUUUCGCUCACUAGAUUAAACCAAAUCCUUCACCAAAAUGCUUGAAUUUAGCAAUAUCAGCAAGAUGGAUCUGUUCCUGCUGAAAGACUAUACAAAAUCUACAUUAAAAGAAACUUUGUCCAAUUCGAUUUCUAGAACCAAGUGAAAUUGAAUGAAUUUUCUAGCACAUUAAGAAGGCAUGUAACAGAACUCCAUUGGAUGAACAAAGAACAGAUAUAUUGUAUCACAAUCCACAAUCCACAUAAACAGAUAGAGAUCCAUAGCAUUGGAGUGAGAGUCAUUGACUUGAAAUCACCAAAAACAUAGAAAAGAUGGUCGAGCAAUGGCGGAAACUCAUUCAUCCUGGACGGAAUUUCAAAUUUAAAAGUCAAUAGAUAUAAACAAAGUUACAACAUUUUCAUUAAUAAUANNNNNNNNNNNNNNNNNNNNNNNNNNNNNAAUAAUUGUGAAAUAUGAAAGAAUAUAACCUGCCGCAUAAUAAAUAAUCCCAUUUGUUGACGGGUGGAUAAUCUUUUGCAAUUAGACAAUAGUGGAUUCAAGAUGAAAAUACGCGGAUUUGAAUUGAAUUGAAAAUUUGUAUGUGUAUCGAGUAAUUAAUAUUAAUUUAAAAUGAGAACAAAUUCAUUUUACUACUUUUAGAUUAAAAUAUAAUAUAUGUCAUCGACUAGUAAUUUUUGUUAUAUUUAGAUUUUUUAAAACUAAAUUUAUGAUUGUUGCUUAGUCUAAAAAAAUAAAUAAAGGAUUAAAACUUCAAAUACUAUUAAUCGAAUUACUAAAUCCUUCAAAUUAAUUUAUAUAUAAUUUAAUAUUCAAAAUCAGAAAAUAAGAGAGUCAAGAUUCUUUCUACUUUAUCCGAUUUAAAAUAAUCAUAUAUAAUGAGUAAAUUUUAAAUAAUAGUUUAACAUUAGAUUAAUUUUGAAAUACUUGAGGAAAAAUUCUGAAAUAGAUGGUGCAAUAUUCCAAAAUUUAAUAAUUUUACAUAAGAAUUAAUUGUUUAUCGAACAAUGGAUAAGACUUACAAACUGAUAAAUGGAAGCAAAUCCUUUCAAACAUAAAAGCAAAUUAAAAAAACAUUACCUUGGAAUCAAAAGUUGGGUUUUAGUACGUGCUGGUGAACUAUUUUCUUUUUUUUGGGGGGGGGGG
rnacentral:lncRNA from 1 species